AUACUUGCAAAAACAGAAUAUUCAAGGAUAUAAUCUUUCAAUGUAGGGUAAUAACUGCUUGAUCCAAGGAUAAAUCUGACUGCCAUUCUGGGGUCAAGAAGGAAUUUUUUUCCUAGCUUGUUGCAAAAUUGUGCUUCAAACUGGGUUUUUUUUGCCUUCUUUUGGAUCAACAGCAAAAAGCAAAUGUGAGGAAGGCUGAACUUGAUGGACGCAAGUCUCUUUUCAGCUAUGUAACUAUGUAACUAUGUAACUAUG